GCUCAGUUGGUAGAGGACAAGACUCUUAACCUUGUGGACGUGGGUUCAAGCCCCAU
rfam:Triticum aestivum genome assembly, contig: Triticum_aestivum_CS42_TGACv1_scaffold_542588_6DS